rnacentral:rRNA from 1 species
AUUGAACGCUGGCGGCAUGCCUUACACAUGCAAGUCGAACGGCAGCACGGGUGCUUGCACCUGGUGGCGAGUGGCGAACGGGUGAGUAAUACAUCGGAACGUACCUUAUCGUGGGGGAUAACGCAGCGAAAGCUGUGCUAAUACCGCAUACGCCCUGAGGGGGAAAGCGGGGGAUCGCAAGACCUCGCGCGAUUAGAGCGGCAGUUGCCUGAGUAGCUUGUUGGUGGGGUAAAAGCCCACCAAGGCGACGAUCAGUAGCUGGUCUGAGAGGACGAUCAGCCACACUGGGACUGAGACACGGCCCAGACUCCUACGGGAGGCAGCAGUGGGGAAUUUUGGACAAUGGGGGCAACCCUGAUCCAGCAAUGCCGCGUGAGUGAAGAAGGCCUUCGGGUUGUAAAGCUCUUUUGUCAGGGAAGAAACACCGGCUCUAACACAGUCCGGGAAUGACGGUACCUGAAGAAUAAGCACCGGCUAACUACGUGCCAGCAGCCGCCGUAA